rnacentral:rRNA from 1 species
UAUGACUCUCGGCAAUGGAUAUCUUGGCUCUUGCAUCGAUGAAGAGCGCAGCGAAAUGCGAUAUGUGGUGCGAAUUGCAGAAUCCCGUGAACCAUUGAGUUUUUGAACGCAAGUUGCGCCUGAGGCCAGCUGGUCGAGGGCACGUCCACUUGGGCGUCAUGC